rnacentral:rRNA from 1 species
GAUGAACGCUAGCGACAGGCCUAACACAUGCAAGUCGAGGGGCAGCAUAAAGGUAGCAAUACUUUGGUGGCGACCGGCGCACGGGUGAGUAACACGUAUGCAACCUACCUGUAAGAGGGGAAUAACCCGGAGAAAUUCGGACUAAUACCGCAUAAUACUGAUUAUCUGCAUGGAUUGAUCAGUUAAACAUUUAUGGCUUACAGAUGGGCAUGCGUAUGAUUAGAUAGUUGGUAGGGUAACGGCCUACCAAGUCAACGAUCAUUAGGGGUUCUGAGAGGAAGGUCCCCCACACUGGUACUGAGACACGGACCAGACUCCUACGGGAGGCAGCAGUAGGGAAUCUUCCGCAAUGGACGAAAGUCUGACGGAGCAACGCCGCGUGAGUGAUGAAGGUUUUCGGAUCGUAAAACUCUGUUGUUAGGGAAGAACAAGUAGCCGUUCGAAAGGGCGGCACCUUGACGGUACC